rnacentral:rRNA from 1 species
UACGUAGGGUGCGAGCGUUAAUCGGAAUUACUGGGCGUAAAGCGUGCGCAGGCGGUUCGUUGUGUCGGUGGUGAAAGCCCCGGGCUUAACCUGGGAAUGGCCGUCGAAACUGGCGAACUGGAGUGUGGCAGAGGGGGGUGGAAUUCCGCGUGUAGCGGUGGAAUGCGUAGAGAUCAGGUGGAACACCGAUGGCGAAGGCAGCCUCCUGGACGGGUACUGACGCUGAGACACGAAAGCCAGGGGAGCGAACGGG